rnacentral:rRNA from 1 species
AGGUAAAGGACUGGGAACGUACUGGGGAGGACUGCCGGUGGAUAAACCGGAGGAAGGCGGGGAUGACGUCAAGUCUCAUGGCCCUUACAUCCCGGGCUACACACGUGCUACAAUGGCAGGUACAGAGGGCUGCGAAGCCGCGAGGUGGAGCGAAUCCCAGAAAACCUGUCUCAGUCCGGAUUGAAGUCUGCAACUCGACUUCAUGAAGGCGGAAUCGCUAGUAACCGCGAAUCAGCAGGUCGCGGUGAAUACGUUCCCGGGCCUU